AGACACAAAAAGAUUUUUCACAAAAGCAGGAUUCUUCUCAAAAUGAGGAUACAGCAAAGGUUCAAGUGCAGAUGUUCUACGAUGAAGAUCAGAAAACUGUUUUUUUGCAGUUAAAUACUGUAUAUGAUUUUUCUCAGCUUCUAAAUGUUUGUCAUGCAGUCAGUCCAGAAAUAAGUCAGGAAGGUAGACAUCAUUACUGGCAAAAUCAAAUUUU
rnacentral:lncRNA from 1 species